AGUAGAAGCUAUCUUAUUUUAAAAAUAAGCAUUAAAAUUCCAACUUAAAAGAUUUCUUAUAAAUCGCCAUUUUUAUUGGAUAUAUCGGGGUGUUCACUCUGCUAGAUAAACUGAAAGAACUAGAAAGGACUGUUUUGAAAGGCAAACUAAAAAAACUAAAAAAAAUAUUUUUUGUGCAUAAUUGAUUCAAUAAUUAUAAAAAAUACAUUUUCCAGUUAUUCAACUGUGUUUUUUAAAAAUAGUUUUAUACAUUUUUUUAAGUUUGUUUUGAGGUGACACCCUGUUUAUUAUGACAUCCGGCCUUAAAGAAAUGUAAACAAACCAAAAAGUAGAGUAUCAAAUUGUAGAUUGAACCUUGCGAAAGCGUUUUACUGUUAUUUUUAAGGAGUUAUAAAAUCUUUAAUAUAUAUUAACUAUAUUAUCAAGCUUAAUUUAUUACAAUAAUAAAAAAAAUGCCUCCUGUAAAAAGAACUAGACGGUGUAAUUUAUAUGGUGGUAGCCCUUCUGAUCUUCCUAUUACAGAUCUAGCAACUUAUGGUGAUGUAGCAAGAUUUUUCUACAAAUUAAAAGAUUUAGAUGGUAUUAAAGACAAAAAUAUUAUUAUUCAAAGAACGCUUUGUAGUUUAAAAGAAAUAUGGUUCAAUUGCAAUUCCAAAUUAGUUUUGUUACCUGAAAAAAGUUUGAUUGUUAAACUUUUAAGAUUUUAUAAUGUUAUUUCUUGGAAUGGAAAUAAAAUUAAACCUUUGACCAAAAAAUUGUUGGAAAAAAAUAAAGAAAAACUUUUUGAUCUGCUAGCAUGUAACUGCAAGCUUGAAGUUCUUCCUUGUGAUGACAGGAAUAUCAAAUGCUCAGGUUGUUCAAAUGUGCAUCUUUACUGUAGUUGUGUUGGUAGUAAAAAAGUUCCUUUGGAAGAGCGCUCCUAUAUAAAAGACCAAAGGGAGAAAAUUGGUACUAAAGGAAAGUUUCAAAUAGGAGGUAUUGAUAACUCUGUUUUAUCACCUACUUCAAGAAAAACAAAGCAAACAAAAGCUUCUGAUGAAGAAAUUUAUAUUAAAGAGUUUGACACAAUCAUGGAUUCAGAUCAGAGUGAAACUUCAAUUUCAUCAUUAAAUCAGACUAGAUCAAAGAACUAUAACACUACCCACUAUCCCAAAUUUGCUUUAGAGGUAAUUAGAUAUGGAAUAUCAGAUGAAGCAGCUGCCGCUGUAGCUAAUGCUCUACUUCAAGAUAUUGGUUAUCUACAUCUAAAUGAUGUAAUUGAUCCAAGUAAAAUGAAAAGAGAGAAAGAACGAGUAUGCUUUAAUGCUAGUUUUGAGCAAUCUAAAGUUUCAAAUAUAAAGGCAAUUGGUUUGGAUAGCAAACGUAAUAAAAACUCAUUGGUUUAUGAACAGAGAGAUAUUGAUGGUGAAAUAAAUCUUUGUUAACUGUAGACCACUUGACAUUCACAAUUGAAUCAGGCGAGUUGCAAGGUCAAUAUCUAAAGCACAUAGAUGUACCUAAAGAAAAAGGUAAAGGAAAAGAUCUUGCUGAAUUUACCUGUAAUGUUCUCAAGGAGUUUAAGAGUGAUAAAAGUAUCCAGGCAAUAAUUUUGGACAAUACAAGUGUUAAUACAGGUAAAGAUAAUGGUUUAGUUGCUUGUCUUGAAAGAAUAUUGAAAAGAAGAAUUCAUUUAAUUGGCUGUCUUCUACAUGUUAACGAGUUACCAUUGCGUCAUUUAAUUUCUAAACUUGAUGGUUCUUCUAAUAGCUCAAAUAAUUAUUCGGGACCAGUUGGAAAAUCUUUGACAAAUCCAAUUCAUUUAAAUUUAACUGUUGACUUCAUACAAGUUGAGACAGACAUUGAAUAUCCUCCUCUGUGUGUCAUUAAAGACCUCUCUGCUGACCAGAGAAUGCUACUGGAAUAUAGUAUUGGAAUUUCUAGAGGGUUUUCAGACAAUAAGUAUCUGAGAAAAAAAAAUAGGCCCUAUUUGUCAUGCAAGGUGGCUGACAACAGCAGUACGGAUCUUGGCACUAUACACAAGAACAAUCAAUCCCAGUAGAGAGCUCAAAAUCUUUGUUGAAUAUAUUCAAACAGUAUAUACUCCUAUGUGGUUUAAUAUUAAAAAGUCUAAGAGUUUCACAGAGGGUCCUAAACUUAUUUUCCAAUUUAUUCAGCGGAUUUUGAGGUUGGAUACUGAAGUUCAAAAUAUUACAUUGCCCAUAAUUUAUAGAAACUCUUUUUGUCUCCAACCUGAAAAUUUUAUUGCUGCUCUACUUUAUUCUGAAGAACAGGUUUAUAGAACAAUUGCUGUUGUUAAGAUUUUGGAAACAAGAAAAACUCUAAUUAAGGAUCCUAAAAAUGGAUUAAAAGAUGGUAUUAGGGUUAAUGCCAUUUCAAUUAUUGAUUGUAGAUGUAAAAACUGGUCAAAAUUAAUAAAUCUGUAUGAUAUAGACUGUUUUGAGCCCCCUUGUGUGGAAGAUAUAUCAAAUGAGGAGCUUUUGAAUAUGAUACCGAAUCAGGGAAAGGCUCCCAACUUUCCGUGCCACUCGCAAACGGUCAAAAGAGCAGUGAAAAUGACUUCUGAUGCUAGCGGAAAAUUUAUUAACCUCAAGAAAAGAAAUGCUUAUAUUUUAGCUAAAUGCCAAAGUCAAAAGAAACGAAAAUAUUUUAGAACAAAGAAAGAUUAUACAUUGUAAUUUGUUAUCAUUUCUUUAAAUUAAUCUAUUUGGUAAUA